CCUUUAUAAAAGCCAUUGUGAUGGUUGGCUGGUAGGACCAGUGUGACAGGAAGAGGCAGGUUUCUUGGGCUUAUUUCUUCUACUUUCUAGUUGGCACUUGGGGUGUCCAGUUAACAACAUUUGACUUGGGCUAAAAAAAUUUACCUCGAGGCAAGGGGAGACAAGUAUUAAGAAGUGG
rnacentral:sRNA from 1 species